UACGAAGGGGGCUAGCGUUGUUCGGAAUCACUGGGCGUAAAGGGUGCGUAGGCGGGUCUUUAAGUCAGGGGUGAAAUCCUGGAGCUCAACUCCAGAACUGCCUUUGAUACUGAGGAUCUUGAGUCCGGGAGAGGUGAGUGGAACUGCGAGUGUAGAGGUGAAAUUCGUAGAUAUUCGCAAGAACACCAGUGGCGAAGGCGGCUCACUGGCCCGGUACUGACGCUGAGGCACGAAAGCGUGGGGAGCAAACAGG
rnacentral:rRNA from 1 species